GUUGGGCUUGCAAGGGAGCCUGAAGAACAACAUCUUGUUCCCAGCUGAGCAGUCUUCCCCCAGAGCGUGCUGCUCAGAGCCCUGUUGCCAAGGAUGGGGCAUGCACAGCCUCUGUGCACAGCCUGGGCCAGUGCCCCACCACGCCCAGUGGAAAAGAGCAGCUUCCUUAGAUGCAGCUUCAAUCAACCUGCUGCAGUUGAAAGCCAUCCCCCCUUGUCCUGUCACCACAGGCCCUGCUGAACACUCUGUCCCCUUCUUUCCUGCGGGACCCUUCCAGACCUGCAGAGCCACAGUGAGGCCUCCCAGUGUCUCCUCUCUCCAGGCUGAGCAUCCCCAACCCCACUUGCCCAGCAGUCAGUCACAUCAGGGCCAGUCAAGGCUGCAGGGUAGCAAAUAGCAUCAGGAACUGAGAGAUGCAAGCUUUAGACCCCGGUUUGCCUCUAAAUGUUUUUCUGUUUGAAAGGAAGCUUGGCACAAUGUCCAUUGUCUUCUCCAUUUGUGAAACACUAAGUGGAGUGUGGGCAGGCUGAUACGCAGAGCAAAACCUGAAAAUAUACUAGUGAUCCUGAGCCUGGGGGAUGCAGCUAAACCCAGCCAAAAGUAAUUUCUGGAAAGUUGAUCCUGGUUUACAUUGUCUUGAGUUUGGCUUUGCCAACUUCACCAGUCAUUUAUGAAAAAGCAAACAAAAAACUCAAACCAAAUCAGACAAAAACCCAAACAAAUAAAGAAACAAACAAACCCAUGCAAACUGAUCCAACAAAUAGAUAAAAAACCCCAAAUAAAACCAACGGAAAUGA